CAGGGAUUGAUCUAUAUUUUAAGGAUAUGAUAUUUGGGGUAUCGAGGAUAAUUCUUGA
rnacentral:tRNA from 1 species